GUUGGACGUUUAACCAAAUGAGCCACCCAGGCACCCCAAAAAUAAAUAUUUAAAAAACAAAAAUAUAAAAUAAAAUGUAGACUCAAUUUCACUAGGUCUAAGGUGGAAUCUGAGAUUCUACAUUUCUGACAAGCUCCCAGAUGAUGCUAAUGCUGGUCAGUGGACCUUGCUUUGAGCUGCAAGGGUCUAAAACAUCACUGUCCAACAAAACUUUCUGCAAGGAUGAAAAUGUUCUAAAUCUACACUGUUCAAUAGACACGUGACUACUGAGCACCUGAAUCUCGGCUAGUACAGUGGAGAAACUGAAUUUUUAAUCUUAGGCUACCAUAUUAAUACAGAUCUAGAAUGCAUAUGCUUCAUGAAGGCACCAAUUCCUAGAAAUGUGGAGCAUAAGAAAAGAAUUAAGGAUCCCUGCAAACUCUUGGCCUGCGCAGCCUCUGUGGAUGGGACACUGUGAAAACUCUAUCAGAGGCCUAGAUGGCACCAGCUCAGGAGUGGAUCAGUACUUACCUAGGGCAGGAAGGCAGCCACAGAAGGCCAUUCUGAGACACUUUAGUGACUAAAGCAUGCGGUAACCCACAGAUGACCACCUUGACCUCAUGACUCAACCGCACUCCUAACCACAACCCCAGGCACACUUGACCAAUGCCAUCCCUGGGCAUCCAUGAUCCUGGACAAUCUUAAAGCCCCAGCUCUCACAGUGACUUGGUUUAUUGCACUGAUUUGUUAUAGGAUGUCUGCCUCUCCCACUAAGUUGUAGGUUCUUUCAAAGAGGGAACUUACUUCACUUGGUAUUCUAUUCCCAUCACCUAGCACACAGCAGGACUCAAUAAAUACUGCAUGAAUGUCAGAGCCUGGACCCUACUGGGAGAGUCAUUAGUAUUUUUACUGUUAAUCACAAGAAACAGGGGAAACAAUUGGGAGGAGGAGGGAGGAUUACAUAACAAGAGAAGAUCGGUUCCUCCUUAAGUGACUCAAAAAUUUCCAAACACGUUUUAAGUCCAGAUUUCAGAACACAGCAUAAAUAAGGUGGCCCUGUUUGACCACAAAACCUCAUUUCCAAAAACACAAACACACAGGCAAGAAAAGAUUAUGUCCUUCCGACAACAGAUGCAAAAUCUACUAGUCUGGGAUCUGGAAGAGCCCUCUUCACAAAGGGCUGAGGUUCAGAAUCACAUUCUUGCCUAAAAAGCACAUGGGCCAGGUUCCCACUAGAACUGCUGGGAGGGGCAUCUGGCCCCAAGGACAGCAAGGCCCCUGGGAAUCUGUGCAGCCCACAGGCUCAUUUUACCCCUGCAGUUAGAACCCUGUGCUUGUGACAGCAAUGAGAUUUCCAAGGUAACCAAGGACAACAGAGUAGAGAAUUAUGGCCCCGGAAGGAAGCAGAUUAAAUUGUAAUACUUACGAGUCAACAUCAAAUUUAUUUUUAAAACUACAUAUCUAACAAAAGCCAAAUAGGCAAGGCAGCAUGGAUGGUGUUUUACAGGAGGACUGAACUAUCAACAUGAAUAUUCCAAAUUCCAUCCAGUUGCAGCAGCAGACUUUGCUAAAAAUGUGCACAAUAAUUACUUCACCCAGAGAAAGUGAUCACCAGGCGAGACAACACACUGGUUAAAAAAAAACCAAAAAAAAACAAAAAAAACAAAAAACAAAAAACAAGCAUGGGUUAACAAAUAUAGUUUUCAUUCACUUAACUCAUUCAACCAUUCCUCCGUUUUCUCUACUCUUCCUACCCAACCCCCAGGUAAACCCAUGUUGGUGCCAGAGCCCUCAACAGGUUCUACGGAUUAACUAUGUUGUCAAGCAGUUAGCAUUUACUAGACCAGGUGCCUGUCAGAUACUGUGCUGUAUCUUAUCUCACUGAACCCUCCCCACCACCCUCUGAAGUAGAGAGGUAUUGUUAUCCAGGACUUAGUGCUGAGGGAAAUAAGAAAACGCAUCUCAGCCAAGUUCACAAAACUGGCAAGUGGUGGAGUCUGAACUUGAACCCAUAACUAUCCAACAAAUGAGGAAUUCAGAGAAUUCAGCAUCACUAAAAGGGACAGAAGACGGGGGCGCCUGGCUGGCUCAGUCGUAGAGCAUGUGACUCUUGAGCUCAACUUCUGAUCCCAAGGUUAUAAGUUCGAGCCCCACGCUGGGUGUAGAGAUUACUUAAAAAUCAUCUUAAAAAACAGCAACACUUCUGAAAACAGCGUGGAGCCAGCUCUUCAACUUACUAGGCUCUAUAACCUUGAACAAAUUACCUUCUGUGAGCCUCAGUUUCCUCAUGUAUAAAGCAGCAAUAAGGAAUAAAUACAACAGAUGUGAUAUUCAUAGCGCAGGGUAGGGACCCAACAGCUACCAACAGCCCAGCUACAGAUGUACGUAUCCAAAAAGUACAUGUCAGUUGUAAAACACUUUUUAUCAGACAUAACCUAUAUUGGAAAAAAUAGGCUUAUCAGUUUAAAAUUAGUUUGCUAAUCCCAUGACUCAUUUAUUUAAACACAGGAACAGGGCUUGCAAAUUUUAAAUUUAUCUUAUGGUAAAUGAGUAAUUUAUGUCACAAGAGCCAUUCUCUGCCUCACUUCAGUAUGAAAAGUUAAUGCUUGCUGAAAACUGAAAUAUUGGGGCACCUGGGUGGCACAGUCGGUUAAGCGUCCGACUUCAGCCAGGUCACGAUCUCGCGGUCCGUGAGUUCGAGCCCUGCGUCAGGCUCUGGGCUGACGGCUCAGAGCCUGGAGCCUGUUUCCGAUUCUGUGUCUCCCUCUCUCUCUGCCCCUCCCCCGUUCAUGCUCUCUCUCUGUCCCAAAAAUAAAUAAACGUUGGGAAAAAAAAAUUAAAAAAAAAAAAAAAGAAAACUGAAAUAUGUGGGCAUCACUUGUUAAUGCAACUAUUUGGAACAAGUUUUGGAAAUGGGAAUGAACAUUACACACCCCAGGAGAGAGCAUUAUUUAAAGGAAUCUACAGUGAUUCCUCAGAGAGUAAACACCUCUCAAAUCUAGUUUUCUCACAAAUCCAAACUCACGGGCCGCCUGGGUGGCUCAGUCGGUUAAAGCA